UAAUACGGAGGGUGCAAGCGUUAUCCGGAAUCACUGGGUUUAAAGGGUGCGUAGGCGGCCUAAUAAGUCAGAGGUGAAAAGUUACAGCUUAACUGUAAAGGUGCCUUUGAUACUGUUUGGCUUGAAUAAGGUUGAGGUUGGCGGAAUGUGACAUGUAGCGGUGAAAUGCAUAGAUAUGUCAUAGAACACCAAUUGCGAAGGCAGCCAGCUAGGCCUUCAUUGACGCUGAGGCACGAAAGCGUGGGUAGCGAACAGGAUUAGAUACCCUGGUAGUCCACGCCCUAAACGAUGCUUACUAGACGUAUGGGACAUAGAUUUUGUGCGUCAAAGGGAAACCAUUAAGUAAGCCACCUGGGGAGUACGUUCGCAAGAAUG
rnacentral:rRNA from 1 species